rnacentral:sRNA from 14 species
UCUGAGUAUAAUAUAUGAUUAUAGUGCUGACGUAAUUUUCUAUGGAGAUAAAAAAUGUAUAAAAAUAAAGUCAUGAUAUCGAGGGCAAUUCCUAAAAACUGGCACAGGUCAACUCAUCAUGGGGGCCAAAUAGA